AGCAGCCGCGGUAAUUCCAGCUCCAAUAGCGUAUAUUAAAGUUGUUGCAGUUAAAAAGCUCGUAGUUGAAUUUCGGGAUCAAUAUAUCGGUCGUGCCUUGGUACGUACUGGUAUCAUUGGUUUCUCCUUUCUGACGAACCAUGAUGUCAUUAAUUUGGUGUUAUGGGAAGUUAGGACUGUUACUUUGAAAAAAUUGGAGUGUUUAAAGCAGGCUUUAGCUUGAAUACAUUAGCAUGGAAUAAUGAAAUAGGACGUUCGAACCUAUUUUGUUGGUUUCUAGGAUCAACGUAAUGAUUAAUAGGGAUAGUUGGGGGCAUUAGUAUUCAAUUGUCAGAGGUGAAAUUCUUGGAUUUAUUGAAGACUAACUACUGCGAAAGCAUUUGCCAAGGAUGUUUUCAUUAAUCAAGAACGAAAGUUAGGGGAUCGAAGACGAUCAGAUACCGUCGUAGUCUUAACCAUAAACUAUGCCGACUAGGGAUCGGAUGAUGUUAAUUUUUAAUGACUCAUUCGGCGCCUUACG
rnacentral:rRNA from 1 species